CUACUAGCAGUGCUAUUUAAGAGAGCGUGAAAAUGUAUCGAUAGACAACCUUUGAAAAGAGUUGUGGCUAUGGCCCUAAAGUCUAGGCUAGGUCCUAUUUACCACACAAAUUAUGAUGAGACAUAUUUAUACAAUAAUAAAGCCUCCGAGAGCGAAGAACAUUAACUGACAUACAGCAAGAUAGAAAAGAAAAGCGAAUCUAUUGUGAGCUUAACCGAUUUUUAACGCUUCAAACCUAUGAUCAUUUAUACGACUAGUAAGAGUGUGACAGCUGUGAAAACCUCGAAAACAAUUGAGGUGGAUCGACGAAUUAAUUGCCUUUAAAGGAGUACUCUGGACCCAAUCAACAGCUGACAAAAUAUUGUUGAAG